CACAAUGCCCGAGUUGGCUCCCGGAUAACGGUAAGAUGUCGUAAAAACACCAAAAGUAAGCAUUUCAAGCGCCAUGAGACUUACAUUGAUCGAUUUUUAUAUUUUAUACUGUAGUACAUGGUCUAUGUAAAACAAUAAUAGCUGUGGCAAGUAAAGGAGGCCAGACUUUAAAGGAGGCUGUCCAGAGAAUGUCUUUUGCGUUAUUCACUAAUAACCUCUGCUAUAAACUUAACUGGUCUGGUAUUACUAUAAAUGACAAUGAAAGUAACUUUGUAAAACAAAGACUUACACUUGCUUAAAAGAGCUGUAAAAAGAAAUCCUGCAACAACUUU